GUAAUGCCGGAUGCUCCGACUCCUCGCAUGGGGUGUCGGGAAAGAUUUCAUCGGUAUGGGAUGGGGUCGCGUCCUAUCAGGUAGUCGGCGGGGUAACGGCCCACCGAGCCUACGACGGGUAGCCGGCCUGAGAGGGCGACCGGCCACAUUGGGACUGAGAUACGGCCCAGACUCCUACGGGAGGCAGCAGUGGGGAAUAUUGCACAAUGGGCGCAAGCCUGAUGCAGCGACGCCGCGUGCGGGAUGACGGCCUUCGGGUUGUAAACCGCUUUUGAUCGGGAGCAAGCCUUCGGGUGAGUGUACCUUUCGAAUAAGCACCGGCUAACUACGUGCCAGCAGCCGCGGUAAUACGUAGGGUGCAAGCGUUAUCCGGAAUUAUUGGGCGUAAAGGGCUCGUAGGCGGUUCGUCGCGUCCGGUGUGAAAGUCCAUCGCUUAACGGUGGAUCCGCGCCGGGUACGGGCGGGCUUGAGUGCGGUAGGGGAGACUGGAAUUCCCGGUGUAACGGUGGAAUGUGUAGAUAUC
rnacentral:rRNA from 1 species